rfam:Schistosoma curassoni strain Dakar, Senegal genome assembly, scaffold: SCTD_scaffold0007228
GCACUGCUGAGGAGUCCCACAACAGGACGAAGUAGCCGUCCAGUGC